AUCUUGGUAAAGCUCAGUUGGUUAGAGCUUGGUGCUGAUAAUGCCAAGGUUGCAGGUUCGAUCCCCGUAUGGGACA